AGCGCAUUUGGAAGCACUUNCCGCCCUGGGGGCAGUGGACGGGCCCGCCAAGGGUUGAAAACUUCAAAGGAAAUGUUGAACGGGGGGCCCCGNAACAAAGCNGUGGAAGGCAUGUNGANUUAANUUUCGUCACUAAACCGAAGAACCCUUACCCAGGUUUGAACAAUCUAUCGCAACCGGGGUGAAAGCCUUCGGUUCCCUUCGGGGACGGUAANACAGGUGUUGCAGUGGCUGUUCGUCAGCUCGUGUCGUGAGACUGUUGGGUUAAGUCCCGCCAACCGAGCGACAAACCCUCAACCUGACUGUUGGCAGCGUAAAAGUCGGCAAACUCUUCAGGAACCUGCCCGUGACAAGCGGGAGGAAGGUGGGGAACGACCGUCAAGGUCGGGCAGUGGCCCCUUAAACGACCCUGGGGGGGCUUUCAACAACAGUGGACCUAACAAAUGGGCGGCCGACCA
rnacentral:rRNA from 1 species